rnacentral:rRNA from 1 species
UACGGAGGGUGCAAGCGUUAUCCGGAUUUACUGGGUUUAAAGGGUGCGUAGGUGGGCAGGUAAGUCAGUGGUGAAAUCUCCGGGCUUAACCCGGAAACUGCCAUUGAUACUAUCUGUCUUGAAUUAUCUGGAGGUGAGCGGAAUAUGUCAUGUAGCGGUGAAAUGCUUAGAUAUGACAUAGAACACCAAUUGCGAAGGCAGCUCACUACGGAUUGAUUGACACUGAGGCACGAAAGCGUGGGGAUCAAACAGG